UGACUAGGUGCUCCUUCCCUGCGCAUAGUAACAUUCCAGGGAGCUGCCUGGGGAAGCUUAACGCUCGAUGCGGGUGGUAGGAAUGUAUCAUGGUGGGAGAGUCAUGGCAGCAGGCAGCUGGAACAGGACACUAAAUAAUAACACCUUCAACUACAAGCAGAAGUCAAGGAGAACAGGAAGCAGGUCCCUGAAGUCAGCUCUGGAAAACUGAAAAGAGUGCUGCGUGCAGAAUGCUUCGCUGGAUGUUUUUUCCUCUAUUCUCACAGACAACUGGAACCUUGAGAGCCAAGGGAGAUUGUGGAGAGGAUGUGAGCAGAUGGCCGCUGAGGAUAGCUGACCGGGUGGGCUGGAACCUAGGCCAGGACCUGCCACCUGAGGAUUGUGCCUGCGAUGUCCAUAUGAUUGUGAACAGCCAAACAGGGAGCUCUGCUCUAAAGUUGAAAAUGAAAAGAGAUAAAGCCUUAAGCACAGAAGAAUAUUUUGUCUUUGGUGAAAAGAACAACUUAAGAUUAAUUUUAUUUUUUAUGCUGUAUAUGCGUGUGGGUAUGUGCAUGCAAAUUUGGGUGACUCCAAAGGUCAGAGCAUCAAAUCACUUGGAGCUGGGAUUAUAGGCAAAUGAAAGCUGCCAAGCAUAGGAAUCUAACGAAUGUCUUCUGUAUGAACAGAGAGUACUCCUUACUGCAGAGCCAUAUUUCCAGCUUAAGGAGGGCUUUUAGAAAGAAGAUUGAUAGAGAAUACAAACUUAAUAGUUUGAUGUACUAAAAAGGUUAA
ensembl:processed_transcript Eldr Egfr long non-coding downstream RNA